rnacentral:rRNA from 1 species
UCGAACGAGAAAGGCGAAUUUCGGUUUGCCGAGUAAAGUGGCGCACGGGUGAGUAACGCGUAGGUAACCUGCCCAUGUGGUCGGGAUAACAGAUCGAAAGGUCUGCUAAUACCGGAUACGAUUGGGUAUCGAGAGAUACCUGAUGAAAGUCUGCCACUCGAAGAAGCAGAUGCACAUGGAGGGGCCUGCGUCCUAUCAGCUAGUUGGUAGGGUAACGGCCUACCAAGGCGACGACGGGUAGCUGGUCUGAGAGGAUGAUCAGCCACACUGGCACUGGAACACGGGCCAGACUCCUACGGGAGGCAGCAGUGAGGAAUUUUGCGCAAUGGCCGCAAGGCUGACGCAGCAACGCCGCGUGGGUGAUGAAGGCCUUCGGGUCGUAAAGCCCUGUCAGGUGGGAAGAAAGGCAUUUUCUCGAAUAGGGGGGAUGUUUGACGGUACCACCAGAGGAAGCACCGGCUAACUCCGUGCCAGCAGCCGCGGUAAUACGGAGGGUGCGAGCGUUAUUCGGAAUUACUGGGCGUAAAGCGCGUGCAGGCGGGAAGGUAAGUCUGAUGUGAAAGCCCUGGGCUCAACCCGGGAAGUGCAUUGGAAACUGCUUUUCUUGAGUACUGGA